CUUCACCUGAGCACAGUGGCUAUGCAUUCCUCCAACUCUGCUUUGCUAAACAACUCUGAAACUCCUACAGCAUAAACAUGAGCAGAGCGGCCCUGUGCUUCAAGAGACAUUUGAGCAUGAAGAAGCCUUGCUUGCAGAAGUGCAGGCUGCAAAUACAAGUGGAUGCCUGUUUUCUCUAACCCUCAGAGUCCGUCUUCUCAACUGAAGCCAACACGAACAUGUGCCUUGCACUAAGAAAUCCCAGGAUUGUCACAACUUGUGCCAGCUGUUGAGGUUAUGACACCUGUGCCAGCAUCGCCAGCUCUGCCCACUGUCAUCUGUUCCAACUGUUCCAUCUGCACUGUUUGUACCAAUUCUCCCAUUUCUGCAUCUGUACCUUCUGCAGAAGCGUUUCCAACAAUGCCAGCUGUGUCAUUGGUGCCAAAUAUGCCAGAUGUUCGAUUUGUCCACCCUGGGCCAAAUCAAUGCAGUUUUGUGCUCAUUAGUUUUAGCUGGUAAAUUCUAUUUUACAAUUUUUUUGAGACGUAUUUAGAUUGAAUCCAGGCAAAUAUCCCCUUUACAAUGGCAGUUCAUCUGUCUGUCCACCAUUUCGCACCCCCAACUUGAUAUCUGACCACACAAACUUGGUCAAUGCUAUUUUGAUCAUGUUAAAACAGUUCACAAUAACUAGUUUGAUAUGAAUUGUGGUAGAAAAUUUCCUCCAAUGUAAAACUGUAGAUUGCAAAACACAGCAACAAAUUGGCAAAGUGAUUAAAAAAGAAUAAACUUUGUUCUGAUAAACAAAUUGGGAAUGCUCAGAAAUCAAUAUG